rfam:Triticum aestivum genome assembly, contig: Triticum_aestivum_CS42_TGACv1_scaffold_322256_4BL
CAGAUGCAGACAAGGCGACAAAAGUUUAUUUGGAAUUUGCAUCUGAGGCAUUUGUGUCAUGUCACACUCUUUUUCACCUGGAGAUCCGAUGCAUCCC